rnacentral:rRNA from 1 species
UACGUAGGGGGCAAGCGUUGUCCGGAAUCAUUGGGCGUAAAGAGCGCGUAGGCGGCUCGAUAAGUCUGCUGUGAAAGUCCAGGGCUCAACCCUGGAAGGGCGGUGGAAACUGUCGGGCUAGAGUCCGGAAGAGGCGAGUGGAAUUCCCGGUGUAGCGGUGAAAUGCGCAGAUAUCGGGAGGAACACCAAUUGCGAAGGCAGCUCGCUGGGACGUCACUGACGCUGAGACGCGAAAGCGUGGGGAGCAAACAGG